GAUGAACGCUGGCGGCGUGCCUAAUACAUGCAAGUCGAGCGAACGGACGAGAAGCUUGCUUCUCUGAUGUUAGCGGCGGACGGGUGAGUAACACGUGGAUAACCUACCUAUAAGACUGGGAUAACUUCGGGAAACCGGAGCUAAUACCGGAUAAUAUUUUGAACCGCAUGGUUCAAAAGUGAAAGACGGUCUUGCUGUCACUUAUAGAUGGAUCCGCGCUGCAUUAGCUAGUUGGUAAGGUAACGGCUUACCAAGGCAACGAUGCAUAGCCGACCUGAGAGGGUGAUCGGCCACACUGGAACUGAGACACGGUCCAGACUCCUACGGGAGGCAGCAGUAGGGAAUCUUCCGCAAUGGGAGAAAGCCUGACGGAGCAACGCCGCGUGAGUCAUGAAGGUCUUCGGAUCGUAAAACUCUGUUAUUAGGGAAGAACAUAUGUGUAAGUAACUGUGCACAUCUUGACGGUACCUAAUCAGAAAGCCACGGCUAACUACGUG
rnacentral:rRNA from 1 species